UCUUGAACACUGCCAUUAAUUUCCUCUCCUGCCUUACCAAUUCCUUUUUCUCUCCUUUCCUUUCCCUUCCUUCUUUCCUUCUUUCUCCCUGUCUCCCCCACCCUCCUAGCUUUCUUUGUUGCAGAAGAGGAUGCACAGAGCUGUGGUGAAAUACUUCAGACAACGCAGCCUCUACAGCCUGGAUGAACUGGCCCGCUUCCAGAACCUCUCUAACGAGAACAACCAGAAAAUAAUAACCAUCCAGGAGGAGUUGUCAGAAGCAAUCCAGCGCAUCUCUGCUUUCCUGUAGUCAGUGGCAGAUGACUCAACUACAGCAACAGUGAUCAUGCUGCGACAAUAGAGACAGCAGCAGAGAACAAACAAGCGGGUCCGGAUGCCAUUGGAUUGAACAAGAAGAAGAUGCCUACAGUUCAGAUAACAGCGUAAUUGGACAUUCACCUGGUCCCAGACAACUUACUUACCCCUGUACGCUUCACUAACUCACUAUGCCCCCUCUCUCUCUCUUACCAGCAGCAGAUCCAUAACAAUGAAACAGGUGACUUUCAUGCUGCUGUCAGGACUGAUCUAAUUUUAGCUGGGUGAAUGAUUGCAAUUGGCUUUGCCUCAUCAGAUAAUUAAUCUAUGUCACCAUUAAUUGGAAAAGAGAAUAAUUACAGGCAGUGUUGACAGAAACUCUACGCUUCUCCAGAUUUCGAGAUCUAAUUACGACUACUAAAACCCUCCGUGACCUUAACUAGCACUUAGUACAUCACCUCGACCACCCUGACCAAUGCCGAAGCAAAACAACUUCCUCUCGGUAGACAUUAAGCCCUGUUUUUGUUGUUUAAUUUUUUUUCUCCCUCUCUCUUUUCUCUCUCACUGUGCUCUCCUAGAAAGCUGUCUCCCUCAAUCACUUUUCAAUGUUCAAUCUUAAUUUUGUGGAAGUUUAGCAUUUUCAAUGAGCUGGAUAUGAAUGAUUAAUGAAUACAUUUAAAUGCUU